UACGUAGGGUGCAAGCGUUUGUCCGGAAUUAUUGGGCGUAAAGAGCUCGUAGGCGGUUUGUUGCGUCGGCUGUGAAAUCCCGAGGCUCAACCUCGGGUCUGCAGUCGAUACGAGCAAACUAGAGUGUUGCAGGGGAGACUGGAAUUCCUGGUGUAGCGGUGAAAUGCGCAGAUAUCAGGAGGAACACCGGUGGCGAAGGCGGGUCUCUGGGCAACAACUGACGCUGAGGAGCGAAAGCGUGGGGGAGCGAACAGG
rnacentral:rRNA from 1 species